CCCUUAGAUGUUCUGGGCUGCACGCGCGCUACACUGAUGCACUCAACGAGUUUACGACCUUGCCCGAUAGGGUUUGGUAAUCUUUUUAAAAUGCAUCGUGAUGGGGAUAGAUUAUUGCAAUUAUUAAUCUUCAACGAGGAAUUCCUAGUAAGCGCGAGUCAUCAGCUCGUGCUGAUUACGUCCCUGCCCUUUGUACACACCGCCCGUCGCUCCUACCGAUUGAGUGCUCAGGUGAAUAAUUCGGACUGCAGCAAUGUUUGGAUCCCGAACGUUGCAGCGGAAAGUUUAGUGAACCUUAUCACUUAGAGGAAGGAGAAGUCGUAACA
rnacentral:rRNA from 1 species